GGAAAAGUUUGUUUGGGGGCUCGCUAUUUCAGAGGUCUCAAUCCAUAGAUGGCCAGCUUCAUUCCUCGGGCCCUGAGAUGAGGCAGAACAUCAUGGAGAAAGAGUAUGGCAGAGGGAAGUGGCUCAGGAAGCGAUACCAGGAAGCAGAGAGAGAGAGAGAGCCCCUCUUACCAUGGACAAAAUAUAAACCCCAAAGGCAUGCCUCCAAUGACCCACCUCCUCCAACAACACUCGACAGUUACCACCCAGCAAAUGCCUAUAGGAGAGUAAUGUGCUGAACAGAUGAAGGCUCUCAUAACCCAAUUAUUCCACCUCUAAACUUUCUUGCAUUGUCUCAUACAUAAACUUUUGGGGGACACCUCAGAUAUAAACCCUGUAACACCUUGCCGCAGUCUGGCUGGGCACAAAUCACAAGCCACUCAAGCAGGGACAAACUUUAUUUCCAAACUCCACCAGCACACUCCCCGGGAACUUUCCCGAACGCCACCCACGCGGCUCCUCCAGGAACACACCACACACCAAGGGAACUCCUACCACCGGAACUUCACCAACCAACGCGAACUCUUCAGGAAUCCCCACGAGAGCUCAACCGGAACUCAACAGGAACUCCGAGAGAACUCAAAAGUCACCAUCUUAAUGGCUCGCUGGCGUCACCUCUCAACCACUACUUCUGGCAAAAAUGCCAUGCGUCAUCCCGACUUGGCUGUGGCCCUCAACAACACCUGACAAGAGCAACUUAGAGGAGGAAAAGUUUAUUUGCGGUUCAUAGUUUCUGUUUUUUAGACAGCCAGUCCAAUGUUCUGGCCCAAGGUAAGGCAGCACAUCACAGGAAGGACACCUCGGAGGGAAGCUGCUCACUUCCUGGCAGCUGAAAAACAGACAGAAAGGAGGGGCUUCAGGGAAGUUGCACCCUUCCAGGGCUUUCCCCCAGUGACCCUCCCUCCAGCCAUGCCACACCUGCCUCCAGCUACCACCCAGUCAUUUAAAGGAGGAUGCACUGAUUAGGUUACAGCUCUCAUUAUCAGAUUAUUUCACCUCCGAAUAUUCCUGCACUAGCAGGACCUUUUGGAAGACACUGAAUAUCCAAACCAUAACAAUCACUGUGCUACCAUGCCUUUCGUCUAUGUGAUAGAUUUUGCUUGCAAACUUUGAGAGACAGUUUUCAUGAGAACACCAGAAAAAUAUGAUCAAAGCAAAGGGCAAUAAAAAUUUACAAUUCAAGCAAAGAAUAGAAGGAGCCGCUAGAAGUUGGGGGUGGGAAGAAUAUGGAGAUGGCAGCCAAGUGUACACAAGCCUCACUUAGACAUGAGGAAUAACUGGAUUUCUUGGGACCUGUUGCACAGUGUGGUGAAUAUGGUUAAUAAUAAUGUAUCAUAUAUUUCAAAAAUCACUGAGUAAAUUUCAAAUGUUUCCACCACAAAAAGUGAUAAGUAUUUGAAAUGAUGGAUGUUAAUUAAUGUAAUUUUUCAUUGUUUUCAUAAAUAAUCUUACUUUGUA
rnacentral:lncRNA from 1 species